rnacentral:rRNA from 1 species
UACGUAGGUGGCAAGCGUUACUCGGAAUCACUAGGCGUAAAGCGCAGGUAGGCGGUUCGGCAAGUCUGUUGUGAAAGCUCCCGGCUCAACUGGGAGAGGCCAACGGAAACUGCUGGACUAGAGUGUGGUAGGGGAAGCUGGAAUUUCCGGUGUAGCGGUGAAAUGCGUAGAUAUCGGAAGGAAUACCUAAGGCGAAAGCAGGCUUCUGGGCCACCACUGACGCUGAGCUGCGAAAGCUAGGGGAGCAAACAGGAUUAGAUACCCUGGUAGUCCUAGCCCUAAACGAUGCUCAUUAGAUGUGGGAGGUAUCGACCCCUUCCGCGUCGUAGCUAACGCAUUAAAUGAGCCGCCUGGGGAGUACGGCCGCAAGGUUGAA